CCAAAACAACCCUGCACUCUCAGGGCCAAGACCCUCUCCUGAAUUGCUUGUACUUGGACAGAACCAGAGUCUGCGCCCUUCUGCGAAGGAGGAUUGGGUGGGAGGAUUGAAGACUGCGUCGGGCUGGUGUCCCCGUCCGAGAAGGGACAGGCAAAUGGGGCUAAGCAGGAUGGCAGAGUUAGACCAAAUGCGGGGGGCAGGGAUUAGAAAUGAAAGGCAAGGGGAGGGGUCGGUAAGAGAGGUGGGAAGCACUGGGGAGGCCGAGUCCGGGACGCAGGGAGCUGCUGAAGGAGAGUUGGGUCUGGAAAGGCAUCCUGAAAAGAGAGGGGUCCGUGGUGGGAAAUAUGGAGGCUGGGAAUCAAAAUGAGAUGUUCAUAGGGAUGAGGAAAGAAGUCUAGUUGGGAAAGAGAUGAGAGGUGAUGGGUAAUACUCCCGUCCCCUUCAAUGGAGGUGAGGGAGCUGAGGGUGGGCAGACGGUGAGGAGAACUUCUUUCUCUGGACCAGGACCUGGCUUGAUCAGACUCCAGAGCCUUCAGCAGGGAAGAGAGAUGUCAGAUGAAGAGGAUCUGGAAGAUUUCGAGCCAGACCAGGAUGAUCUGGAAAGGGAAGAAGAUGAGAAGGAGACAGAGGAGUGGGAGGAUGACAGGAAAGAGGAGGAAGCCGGCUCUGAGGAAUGGGUUCUCAACCCCCUGACAGAGGACAUGAUGAAGGAAGGGCUUUCUUUGCUCUGUAAGACUGGCAAUGGACUGGCCCAUGCUUAUGUCAAGCUGGAGGUUAAAGACAGAGAUUUGACAGACAUCUCCUUGCUGCGUUACUACAUCCAUCUGCGUUAUGUGGAUGUUUCUGAGAACCAUCUGACAGACUUGUCUCCACUCAAUCACCUCACCCACCUGCUCUGGCUCAAGGCUGAUGGCAACCGGCUCCGGACUGCCCAGCUGAAUGAACUGCCCUACCUGCAGAUUGCCAGUUUUGCCUAUAAUCAGAUCGCUGACACUGAGGGCAUCUCUCAUCCUCUUCUGGGCAUCCUGAAUCUCAAAGGGAAUCACAUCCGAAUGGUGACAGGUCUGGACCCCCAAAAACUGAUCAGCCUACACACACUGGAACUUCGAGGGAACCAACUGGAAAGCACAAUGGGGCUCAACCUUCCCAAGCUGAAGAACCUCUUCCUGGCGCAGAACAUGUUGAAGAAGGUGGAAGGCUUGGAGUACCUGAGUAAUCUCACUAGCUUGCACCUUCGAGACAACCAGAUUGAAACUUUGAGUGGCUUCUCCAAGGAAAUGAAAUCAUUGCAGUACCUCAACCUGAGGGGCAAUCUAAUAAGCAACCUGCGGGAGUUUGCCAAGCUUCGGGACCUGCCCAAGCUUCGAGCCCUGGUGCUGCUGGACAACCCAUGUACAGAUGAGAACGACUACCGCCAGGAGGCCCUGGUGCAGAUGCCUCAGCUGGAACGUCUGGACAAGGAGUUCUUCGAGGAGGAGGAUCGGGCUGAAGCCAAUGAGAUUCGUCAGAGGAUGAAGGAGGAGCAGGAGCAGGAGCAGGAGCAGGAGCAAGAGGCUGAGCCUGACCAAUAUGAGGAAACCAUGUAGAAGCAGUUCUUCUGGCCUUCAAGGAUAGUAAGGAAGCCGGCAUGGAGGCAGGAAGAGGAGGCCAAGGGCCUGGCACAUAGGGGGAGAAAGGAGUUGCUAUAGGAGGAGGGCAUCAGAGACACUGGCCCCAAGACCCGAGAAGACUCCGUUAGCAGGGGCCGCCACACGCACACCCUCACGCAGAGACAGAACAAGCCUUCUCCUGCCCCAGACCUGGGGACCCAUCACCGCCUGCAGCCCAGACUCUCUGCGCACCUGGGCAGCGGGGUCGGAGGGCCUGCGCUCUGCCGAGAGCCUGGAGGACGCCGGCCUCCAGGCAGCUCUGGUAGGAGCCCAGCCUGGACCGGCCCAGGGGAUGCGGGUCCAGUUGGCUGCAGAGGGGCUGCAGAGGCGGG